rnacentral:misc_RNA from 1 species
AGAUCUGUCUUUCUUCAUAGUGUGGAUGUUAAGGAUUGUUGGACUGAAUUAUUAAUACCUCUUCGGAAUCAUGAAGAUCACCAGCAGCUUAUACAACUCUUGGUUUUCAUAUUGUGGCAUGUUUGGAAGAGCAGAAAUGAAAAGAUUUUCAGAAAUGUUAUCAUAUCUCCACAGGACAUUAUAGCAGCAACACUUAAGCAUUUUGAGGAUUUCUCCUUGGCAAAUGACUCUAUUUCAAAGCAGUCAGA